AAGAAACUAUUUUUAAGAAAUUAGGAAACAUCUCAAGAUGAAGUCAUUAAGCCAAGCUGAAUGAAGACAAGAAGUUGUUUCACUGAUUUGGUUGCAUAACAUGUUCGAGUCUUCCUCCUAGUGGUUUUGGAGCAUGCAUUAUGAGUGGCUGAUUUUCAAGAGGACAUGAAGGUACAACAAAUGCCUCUGUUGCCCCAUAGAGAGUUGACAUUCCUGGACAUCCAUAUGGCUUCACCUGGGCCCCUUCAGCACCUACUGGGGCCUGAAGCUUCAACCAAGUUUGGAAGUGAUGGGAGAUGCUGAAGACUUGGGCAUGUGGCUUGUUAGCUUGAGAUGGUGGAGGCAUGCAUGUCUACCAAACAUCUGGGACAUUAGGAAGGUAAGAAGGUGUAUGAAGGUCCGUACA